ensembl:snRNA U1 U1 spliceosomal RNA
AUACUUACCAGGCAGGGGAGAUACCAUGAUCAGGAAGGUGGUUCACCCAGAGCCAGGCUCAGCUACGUAUAUCAUCAUUUGAUAUUGAUGUAAAGUUUUUUGUGUGUGGUACUUUCAAAUAAACGUUUGUUAAACUGGUACCUU